rnacentral:rRNA from 1 species
GAUGAACGCUAGCGGCAGGCCUAAUACAUGCAAGUCAAGGGGAUAGCAAUAUCACCGGCGGACGGGUGCGUAACGCGUACACAACGUGCCCAAGGGCGGAGGAAAGCGGCGGGAAACUGCCGGUAAUACUCCAUGGUGUUGUUGAGUGGCAUCACUUAACAACUAAAGUACAAGCGCCCUUGGAUCGGUGUGCGUUCGAUUAGCUAGUUGGCGGGGUAACGGCCCACCAAGGCUUCGAUCGAUAGGGGGUGUGAGAGCAUGACCCCCCCACACGGGUACGUGAGACACGGACCCGACCUCCUACGGGA